GGCCAAUGGGCGAGAAGAAAUGCCAUAUGGGCGAUAUUUGGCUGCGGAGUGGUGUGCGUUGAUGAUAUCAUGAACUUCCUUCCAAGGCCUCUUUCGUAGGCCGAUCCUGAAGAUGAUGCUGCCUCAAAAUGUGACAAAGCUGAUGAUGGCUGAUGGUGAUGAUUGUGAUGAUGAUGACGACCAUGGUAUCUGAUAAUAAAAUGUUGGAAGGCAAUUCAA